UGUCGGGUAAGUUCCGACCCGCACGAAAGGCGUAACGAUUUGGGCACUGUCUCAACAACAGACUCGGUGAAAUUGUAAUUCCGGUGAAGAUGCCGGAUACCUGCGACAGGACGGAAAGACCCCAUGGAGCUUUACUGUAGCUUGACAUUGGGUCUUGGUACUACAUGUACAGGAUAGGUGGGAGGCUUUGAAACCAGGACGCCAGUUUUGGCGGAGCCAUCCUUGGGAUACCACCCUUGUAGUACUGGGACUCUAACCAUAGGCCAUGAAUCUGGUCUUGGGACACUGUCAGGUGGGGCAGUUUGACUGGGGCGGUCGCCUCCCAAAAGGUAACGGAGGCGCUCAAAGGUUCUCUCAGUACGGUCGGAAAUCGUACGUAGAGUGUAAAGGCAAAAGAGAGCUUGAUUGCAAGACAUACAGGUCGAGCAAGGAUGAAAAUCGGACUUAGUGAUCCGGUGGUUCUGCGUGGAAGGGCCAUCGCUCAACGGAUAAAAGCUACCCUGGGGAUAACAGGCUUAUCUCCCCCAAGAGUCCACAU
rnacentral:rRNA from 1 species